rnacentral:rRNA from 1 species
UACGUAGGGGGCAAGCGUUGUCCGGAAUCAUUGGGCGUAAAGAGCGUGUAGGCGGCUCGGUAAGUCGGCGCUGAAAGCCCGGGGCUCAACCCCGGGAGGCGGGCGGAUACUGUCGGGCUAGAGUCCGGAAGAGGCGAGUGGAAUUCCUGGUGUAGCGGUGAAAUGCGCAGAUAUCAGGAGGAACACCAAUGGCGAAGGCAGCUCGCUGGGACGGUACUGACGCUGAGACGCGAAAGCGUGGGGAGCAAACAGG